GAUGAACGCUGGCGGCGUGCUUAACACAUGCAAGUCGAACGAAGCAUUUGCGACAGAUUUUUUCGGAAUGAAGUUGCUUAUGACUGAGUGGCGGACGGGUGAGUAACGCGUGGGUAACCUGCCUUGUACUGGGGGAUAGCAGCUGGAAACGGCUGGUAAUACCGCAUAAGCGCACAAUGUUGCAUGACAUGGUGUGAAAAACUCCGGUGGUAUAAGAUGGACCCGCGUCUGAUUAGCUAGUUGGUGAGAUAACAGCCCACCAAGGCGACGAUCAGUAGCCGACCUGAGAGGGUGACCGGCCACAUUGGGACUGAGACACGGCCCAGACUCCUACGGGAGGCAGCAGUGGGGAGUAUUGCACAAUGGAGGAAACUCUGAUGCAGCGACGCCGCGUGAGUGAAGAAGUAAUUCGUUAUGUAAAGCUCUAUCAGCAGGGAAGAUAGUGACGGUACCUGACGAAGAAGCGCCGGCUAAAUACGUG
rnacentral:rRNA from 1 species